UACGUAGGGGGCAAGCGUUGUCCGGAAUCAUUGGGCGUAAAGAGCGUGUAGGCGGCUCGGUAAGUCCGCUGUAAAAGUCCAGGGCUCAACCCUGGAAAGCCGGUGGAAACUGUCGAGCUAGAGUCCGGAAGAGGCGAGUGGAAUUCCGGGUGGAGCGGUGAAAUGCGUAGAGAUCCGGAAGAACACCGGUGGCGAAGGCGGUCCGCUGGGCCAAGACUGACGCUGAGGCGCGACAGCGUGGGGAGCAAACAGG
rnacentral:rRNA from 1 species